rnacentral:tRNA from 1 species
UGAAGUGUACCAAAGUGGACAAAUGGGGCAGACUGUAAAUCUGCUGUCUUCGGACUUCGUAGGUUCAAAUCCUGCCGCUUCAA